CCUANGGGUGGCAGCAGUGAGGAAUAUUGGUCAAUGGGCGUAAGCCUGAACCAGCCAUCCCGCGUGAAGGAAGAAGGCGCUAUGCGUUGUAAACUUCUUUUCCGGAGGAAUAAAAUUUUGUACGAGUACGGAACUGAAGGUACUCCGGGAAUAAGCAUCGGCUAACUCCGUGCCAGCAGCCGCGGUAAUACGGAGGAUGCGAGCGUUAUCCGGAUUUAUUGGGUUUAAAGGGUGCGUAGGCGGAUUAAUAAGUCAGUGGUGAAAACCUUCAGCUUAACUGGAGACUUGCCAUUGAUACUGUUAGUCUUGAGUACGGUCAAGGUAGGCGGAAUGUGUAAUGUAGCGGUGAAAUGCUUAGAUAUGACAUAGAACACCAAUUGCGAAGGCAGCUUACUACACGAUCAUUGACACUGAGGCACGAAAGCGUGGGGAGCAAACAGGAUUAGAUACCCCANUANUC
rnacentral:rRNA from 1 species